rnacentral:rRNA from 1 species
GAUGAACGCUAGCGGCAGGCCUAAUACAUGCAAGUCGAGGGAGAAUGUUGGAUUCGUCUGACAUGAAACCGGCGCACGGGUGCAUAACACGUAUGCAACCUACCUUUAACUGGGGUAUAGCUCAGAGAAAUCUGAAUUAAUCCCCCAUAAGACUACGACAUGGCAUCAUGAUGUAGUUAAAGCUCCGGCGGUUAAGGAUGGGCAUGCGGUACAUUAGCUAGUUGGUGAGGUAAUGGCUCACCAAGGCUACGAUGUAUAGGGGGUCUGAGAGGAUGAACCCCCACACUGGUACUGAGACACGACCAGACUCCUACGGGAGGCAGCAGUAGGGAAUAUUGGUCAAUGGACGCAAGUCUGAACCAGCCAUGCCGCGUGAAGGAUGAAGGCCCUAUGGGUCGUAAACUUCUUUUAUUAGGGAAGAAAAAACGGGAUGCGUCCUGUACUGACGGUACUUAAUGAAUAAGGAUCGGCUAACUUCGUGCCAGCCGCCGCGGUAA